rnacentral:hammerhead_ribozyme from 1 species
AUCUAGCUGACGAGUCCCGAAUAGGACGAAACGUGCUUCCUGGAU